rnacentral:rRNA from 1 species
AUUGAACGCUGGCGGCAGGCCUAACACAUGCAAGUCGAACGAAGUCUUCGGACUUAGUGGCGGACGGGGGAGUAACACGGGGGAACGUGCCUGGAGGUUCGGAAUAACUCAGGGAAACUUGUGCUAAUACCGAAGGUGACCUUCGGUGGAAAGAUUUAUCGCCUUUAGAGCGGCCCGGGUCUGUUUAGCUAGUUGGUGAGCUAAAGCCUCACCAAGGCGACGAUCAGUAGCUGGUCUGAGAGGAGAACCAGCCACAUGGGUACUGGGAAACGGCCCAAAAUCCUACGGGGGGCAGCAGUGGGGAAUCUUGCGCAAUGGGCGAAAGCCUGACGCAGUCAUGACGCGUGAAUGAUGAAGGUCUUAGGAUUGUAAAAUUCUUUCACCGGGGAAGUUAAUGACGGUACCCGGAGAAGAAGCCCCGGCUAACUUCGUGCCAGCCGCCGCCGUAACAC